GAGUUUGAUCAUGGCUCAGGUUGAACGCUGGCUGCAUGCUUUACACAUGCAAGUUGAACGAAUACUUUCUUUUCGGAGAAAAAUAUUAGUGGCGAACGGGUGCGUAACACGUGAGAAUCUACCUUUAGGAAAAGAAUUUAAAUACUUUAUAUACCAUAUGUGGUUAAAGAAACGUUUACGUUUCGCCUAAAGAUGAGCUUGCGUCCGAUUAGCUAGUUGGUAGUGGUAAAGGCCUACCAAGGUUAUGAUCGGUAGUUGGUUUGAGAGAACGACCAGCCACAUUGGAACUGAGACACGGUCCAAACAACUACGGUUGGCAGCAGUGGGGAAUUUUCCGCAAUGGGCGAAAGCCUGACGGAGCAAUGCAGCGUGAAGGAUGAAGGCCCGCGGGUCGUAAACUUCUUUACUUAAAGACGAAGGUAUGACGGUAUUUAAGCAAAAAGUGACGGCUAACUCUGUGCCAGCAGCCGCGGUAAUACAGGGGUCGCAAGCGUUAUCCGAAAUUAUUGGGCGUAAAGAGUCUGUAGGUGGUUUGAAUAGUCUUUUGUAAAAGCCAAAGGCCCAACCUUUGAUAUGCAUAAGAAACUUUCUCACUUGAGUAUGGGAGAGGGAAAGGGAAUUCUCAGUGAAGCGGUGGAAUGCGUAGAUAUUGAGAAGAACACCGGUGGCGAAAGCACUUUCCUGGACCAUGACUGACACUGAGAGACGAAAGCUAGGGGAGCGAAAAGGAUUAGAGACCCUUGUAGUCGUAGCUGUAAGCGAUGGAUACUAGGUAUUGGAACCUCUAAAAAGUUUUCAGUAUCGGAGCUAACGCGGUAAGUAUCCCGCCUGGGGAGUAUGCUCGCAAGGGUGAAACUCAAAGAAAUUGACGGGGACCAGCACAAGUGGAGGAGCGUGCGGUUUAAUUCGAUGCAACCCGAAGAACCUUACCAAGACUUGACAUGGUAGGAAAAUUUUAGAAAUAAAGUCGUGUCUUGUUAAUUUUUUUAUUGACAAGAAACCUAUACACAGGUGGUGCAUGGCUGUCGUCAGUUCGUGCCUUGUGGUGUUGAGUUAAGUCUCGCAACGAACGCAACCCUUGUUUUAUGUUAUAUUCAUAGAAAACAGCCGAUGUCAAAUCGGAGGAAGGAGAGGAUGACGUCAAGUCAUCAUGCCCCUUAUGUCUUGGGCUACACGCGCGCUACAAUGGUUAGGACAACGGGUCGCUACUUCGCAAGAAGAUGCUAAUCUCUUAAACCUAAUCUCAGUUCGGAUUGAAGGCUGCAACUCGCCUUCAUGAAGUCGGAUUCACUAGUAAUCGUGGGUCAGCUAUACCGCGGUGAAUACGUUCCCUGGUCUUGUACACACCGCCCGUCACACUCGGGAAGUUUAUUCUGUCCUAAGUCGUUACUCUAACCCUUUGGGAGGGGGAUGCCGAAGUCAUAAUUCGUGACCUGAGUGAAGUCGUAACAAGGUAACC
rnacentral:rRNA from 1 species